UCCUCCUCCUCUCCUCCUCCUCUUCCUCCUCCUCUUCUUCCUCUUCUCUCUAUUCCUCCUCCUCCUCUUCCUCUUCCUCCUGCAGUUACGUAUCUUCCUCGUUAUCCUCCUCCUCUUCCUCCUCCUCCUCCUUUCACUCCUCCUCUUACUACUACUACUACUACUACUACUACUACUACUACUACUACUAUUUUGCCUCUCUAUAACUACUACCACAAUCUUGACCUUCCUAUGUCAGUACUAGGACGACCACGACUUCUACACACGACUAACCGGCCUGGGUAUCUCUCAGUUCAGGACGUUUGGGAACAACAUUUAGGGAUUUUGUUCAAGAAUUUUCCUCACAAGUGGAGAAUUGAUCCUCUUAACGGAGCCAUGGUAAACGCAGCUAAGAUUCAUGCGGCACCAACCCUCACGCCGUUAACUCCACCAAACACUACCACAACUGCUACUACUACCACAACUACUACUACUACUACUACUACUACUACUACUACUACUAUCUCGACUGCCUUUCUGACGCCACCAAAGACUCCAAAUACUACUACUACUACUACUACUACUACUACUACUACUACUACUACUACUACUACUUCCAAUAUGGCGGCGAUCUUCAGGGACAUGGCAAAAGUUCGAUUUUACUGUUCGCACUGUAGCGAUGGCUGGACCAGUAUGUACGGAGUAGUCAUAUUCUACUAUCAACUACUACCGCAACCACCACCACUACCACCACACGGCCUGAUCACCUACCAGCUACCAGGACAGAGAUGUGGUGGUUGUGGUGGUGGUGGUGGUGGUGGUGGGGGGUACUGUCCCCCCCUGUGGUACCCCGAGGAAGCACAGAAGGUGAUAACAAACCUGUAUUACGAGAUAGCCACGCACAUAUAUAACUUGUUAACACCGCAGUUCAUUAAGACGAGGCGGUUAGGAAGGCCCGCAGCUUUUCAUAACCGGGGAUUGUGUGAAGGUUGUGAUAACGGUUUGUGUAAGUGAGAGAGAGAGAGAGAGAGAGAGAGAGAGAGAGAGAGAGAGAGAGAGAGAGAGAGAGAGAGAGAGCAUUUAUUUUGUGUUUUUGUGUGAGUGUGUGUGUUUGGGAGAGAGAGAGAGAGAGUGUGUGUGUUUGUGUGUGUGUUUGUGUGUAAGAGAGAGAGAGAGA